rnacentral:rRNA from 1 species
UACGUAGGGUGCGAGCGUUGUCCGGAAUUAUUGGGCGUAAAGAGCUUGUAGGUGGCUCGUUGCGUCGGGAGUGAAAACCUGCGGCUUAACCGCAGGCCUGCUUCCGAUACGGGCGAGCUAGAGUUCGGCAGGGGAGACUGGAAUUCCUGGUGUAGCGGUAAAAUGCGCAGGAAUAUCAGGAGGAACACCGGUGGCGAAGGCGGGUCUCUGGGCCGAUGACUGACGUGGAGGAGCGAAAGCGUGGGGAGCGAACAGG